AGAUUCUAUUACUCUGGUUUUUAUCUUUUGAAACCAGCUUUUUCAUGCAACAUAAUGUUUUGAAAUUUGUCUCUGUUUAUUCAUGGAAAUGUGGCUCAUUGUCAUUGUUGAUAUUAUAAAUAAGUGAAUCUUACUCUAAAUGGUCUUUUCUUCAUUUUGUUCACAAACAGCUCUAUAAUUAUUGUUUUUGAAUACGUUUCCUACUGAAAAUGUGUAAAUGUUCCUUUAGGGUAAGUUUCUAGACAUGGAAUUGUGGAUCACAGACUAUUCUUCAAGUUGAGUGGAUAUUUCCAAAUUAUAGUGCCAUCAGAAAUGAAUGAGUUCUUGCUUCCCAGCAUUUUUGUCAACAGAAUUCUUUCUUUUGAGGAGGCAAUAAUGGAAGUUGCUGCAGACCCAUAUGGAUUCAUUGCUGGUAACAUACUUCGGUGCUACGUGACUCAAAUAUGUCAUUCUGCUGUUAACACAAAGACAUCAAGAAUAAUUUGCCUUAUUACUCUUACUGUUAUCAUGAACAGCAGCAGCAGCAUUGUUCCACCCUUUAAAUAAGGCUGUGAAGGAGUUGAAAAAGAUGUGGCUUUUUAACAAGGAGAAGACUGAAUUGAGCUCCAAACAAGUCACAUUCCUAGAGAAAGGUACCUGGGCAAGGUAACAAUAUUAAUAAGAGUUUGUUAAAUAAAAGUAUGGUGAAAGUAUAAAAGGUUUUGCCAACCUCUACCUUCAGCUCUCUAUAGCAGGUAAGUGAGAAUGAAAGCAAACAUUUUACAUUUCCUGACCGUAAACAAAGGGAAGCUUGAUGUACAAGUUUUUACACUCUUCCUUCUCGAGGUCUGAGAUCAGGUAAAGUCAGGGAAGGAAGACAUAUAUGACAGAGCAAUAUCAAUUACUAAGACCUUAGUUUCCAGGCAGAUCAUUUGGGAUUGCAUCUUCAAACUUCCAUUCAUUGCUUUAAAAUGUGACAAUAAGCCUUUGGAUGGUCAAUGUUAAGUGACUGAACUUUAUAAAAUAUAUUUUGCCACCUGAGUUCAUUCUGGUGUAUCCAUGUCCCAGAGCCAGGAGGCAGAAAAACUGAUCUCAUCCUUUAAAACGGACAUUUUUAAACUCAGCACUGUUGACAUUUUGAGUCAGGUAAUUCUCUUUUUCUCUUUUGAGACAGAAUUUGCUCUUGUUACCCAGGCUGGAGUGUAGUGGCAUGAGCUUGGCUCACCGCAACCUCCACCUCCUGGGUUCAAGCAAUUCUCCUGCCUCAGCCUCCC
rnacentral:lncRNA from 1 species